GCAUGUGAGCGGUGAUGGAUUUGUAUGCCGCGGUGGGCUCCCUGCUAUUGUGCAGUUGACCAUCGACGCUGCAAGUCUCUUCAAUGGCACUCUAUUUGAAUGGAGAUGCGUGUGUUGCCUGUACAAUCUACCUAGUUCCUUUGGAAAUAGACAUUGUUUACCUCGCUUAUCCACUUCUCAUGUCCUAUAUGAAUGAGGAGUGUCGAUGUCCGUGCACCUUGAGUGUCCUCGAACGAUGGCAUGUCUCAGACCUCUCGUCUCGAGUGGCUCCAGUGUUCACGUGAGUGCUCUUGGAUGCAGUGGAUAAGAAUGUACCAUGGGUCUUCGGACUCUUGGCACAUGAUCCGUUGGCUUUCUUAGUCGCCCUUCGACGGAUGACGGCCUUCCCAUCGUUGCCCCCCUUUCCCUUGUGGUAAUGGGUCGGCAUGUUGGGCUUGGCGUCGUAGAGGACGUGCUACC
rnacentral:misc_RNA from 1 species